AAGAGGAAGAUCGACCAGAGCUCUCUCUCUCUUCUCUAGGCAUGUGCUCUGAGAAAAGGUCAUCUGAGGACAAAGUACCCGUCUGCAAGCCAGGAAGAGAGCCCUUGCCAGAAACUAAACCCCGCUGGAAACUUGAUUUUGCGCUUUCCAGCCUCUAGAACUGUGGACACCGAAAUUCUUUGCCUGAAAACCUUUUAAAAAUAUGAAAACAAGACAAAAAAUGGCUGGGUUUUCUUUUAGAGUGGCAAUGUCAUUUGUCCAGAAGGGGGAGCUCUCAGUCCGCAUGCAGCGGAGCAAGGCAGACAGUCUGGUAUCUUAUCUGCUGCUUGGGAAAUUGUCUGACAGGAAAAUAUCAACACAAACCAUGCGAUUUGCCGCUGGAGCACGCUGGACCUCAUCUGCUUAAAAAGAUGCACGGAUAUAGUCAUCACAGUUCAUAAUUUAAUAAACUGCUAAAAAAACCACACAUUUUCAUUUUAGCGACUUUGGUCUCACAACUAAAUUCACAUUGCUACAAAGACAUUUGAAUUUUGC
rnacentral:lncRNA from 1 species